rnacentral:rRNA from 1 species
GACGAACGCUGGCGGCGUGCUUAACACAUGCAAGUGGGGCGACGAACCAGGCUUCGGCCUGGGGCAAAGCCGCGAACGGGUGGGUAACACGUGGAUAACCUGCCCUGAAGACCGGGACAACCCGGGGAAACCCGAGCUAAUACCGGAUGUGGUCAUCGUCCAUAAGGACGGUGAGCAAAGGAAGCUUCGGCCUCCGCUUCGGGAGGGGUCCGCGGCCCAUUAGCUUGUUGGUGAGGUAACGGCUCACCAAGGCAACGANGGGUAGCUGGUCUGAGAGGACGAUCAGCCACACUGGGACUGAGACACGGCCCAGACUCCUACGGGAGGCAGCAGUGGGGAAUCUUGCGCAAUGCGCGAAAGCGUGACGCAGCAACGCCGCGUGGGUGAAGAAGGCUUUC